rnacentral:rRNA from 1 species
CGUAGACGAAAGUUACGCUAAUACCGCAUACGAUCUAAGGAUGAAAGCGGGGGAUCGCAAGACCUCGCGCGAUUGGAGCGGCCGAUAUCAGAUUAGGUAGUUGGUGAGGUAAAGGCUCACCAAGCCAACGAUCUGUAGCUGGUCUGAGAGGACGACCAGCCACACUGGAACUGAGACACGGUCCAGACUCCUACGGGAGGCAGCAGUGGGAAUUUGGACAAUGGACGCAAGUCUGAUCCAGCCAUUCCGCGUGCAGGAUGAAGGCCCGUCGGGUUAGUAAACUGCUUUGUACGGAACGAAAAGGUUUGUCUUAAUACGAUGAGCUCAUGACGGUACCGUAAGAAUAAGCACCGGCUAACUACGUG